rnacentral:rRNA from 1 species
ACGGGAGGCAGCAGUGAGGAAUAUUGGUCAAUGGGCGAGAGCCUGAACCAGCCAAGUAGCGUGCAGGAUGACGGCCCUAUGGGUUGUAAACUGCUUUUUCAGGGGAAUAUAGUCACCCACGUGUGGGUGUUGGCAUGUACCCUGCGAAUAAGCAUCGGCUAACUCCGUGCCAGCAGCCGCGGUAAUACGGAGGAUGCGAGCGUUAUCCGGAUUUAUUGGGUUUAAAGGGUGCGCAGGCGGCACGUUAAGUCAGCGGUGAAAUGUCGGGGCUCAACCCGGGCACUGCCGUUGAAACUGGCGAGCUUGAGUACGGAUGAAGUCGGCGGAAUGUGAUGUGUAGCGGUGAAAUGCUUAGAUAUGUCACAGAACACCGAUUGCGAAGGCAGCUGACUAAUCCGCAACUGACGCUCAGGCACGAAAGCGUGGGGAUCGAACAGGAUUAGAUACCCUGGUA